AGAGACAGCAGUAGCCGCGGGAAAACAGAGGGUGCGAGCGUUAAUCGGAUUUACUGGGCGUAAAGCGUGCGUAGGCGGCUUUUUAAGUCGGAUGUGAAAUCCCUGAGCUUAACUUAGGAAUUGCAUUCGAUACUGGGAAGCUAGAGUAUGGGAGAGGAUGGUAGAAUUCCAGGUGUAGCGGUGAAAUGCGUAGAGAUCUGGAGGAAUACCGAUGGCGAAGGCAGCCAUCUGGCCUAAUACUGACGCUGAUGUACGAAAGCAUGGGGAGCAAACAGGAUUAGAUACCCCAGUAGUCCCUGUCUCUUAUAC
rnacentral:rRNA from 1 species